CACACUUUGGACCCAAUUUAAGG
rnacentral:piRNA from 1 species